rnacentral:rRNA from 1 species
UCCCUUGGGGGGGGGCCCUUGGGGAUUUCUUGCAAAAGGCGCAAGCCUGAUCCAGCAAUGCCGCGUGAGUGAAGAAGGCCUUCGGGUUGUAAAGCUCUUUUGUCAGGGAAGAAACGGUCCGGGCUAAUAUCCUGGGGUAAUGACGGUACCUGAAGAAUAAGCACCGGCUAACUACGUGCCAGCAGCCGCGGUAAUACGUAGGGUGCGAGCGUUAAUCGGAAUUACUGGGCGUAAAGCGUGCGCAGGCGGUUUUGUAAGUCUGAUGUGAAAUCCCCGGGCUUAACCUGGGAAUUGCAUUGGAGACUGCAAGGCUGGAGUCUGGCAGAGGGGGGUAGAAUUCCACGUGUAGCAGUGAAAUGCGUAGAGAUGUGGAGGAACACCGAUGGCGAAGGCAGCCCCCUGGGUCAAGACUGACGCUCAUGCACGAAAGCGUGGGGAGCAAACAGGAUUAGAUACCCUGGUAGUCCACGCCCUAAACGAUGUCUACUAGUUGUCGGG